GACUCUGUAACUCAAUCGGUUAGAGCGCUGCACCGGAGUAGCAGGGCCCGCAUGUUUGAUUCCUGCCGGAGGGCA